GGUAGCGAAAUUCCGUUGUCGGGGUAAGUUCCGACCUGCACGAAUGGCGUAACGGAUGGCCACACUGUCUCCUCCUGGGACUCAGCGAAGGUUGAAAUGUUUGUGAAGAUGCAAUCUCCCCGCGGCUAGACGGAAGACCCCGUGCACCUUUACUGUAGCUUUACAUUGGACUUUGAUAACACUUGUGUAGGAUAGGUGGGAGGCUUUGAAGUGGAUUCGCUAGAAUUCAUGGAGCCAUCCUUGAAAUACCACCCUGGUGUUGUUGAGGUUCUAACCUAAAUCCAUUAUCUGGAUUGGGGACCGUGUAUGGUAGGCAGUUUUGACUGGGGCGGUCUCCUCCCAAAUUGUAACGGAGGAGUACGAAGGUACGCUAGGUACGGUCGGAAAUCGUGCUGAUAGUGCAAUGG
rnacentral:rRNA from 1 species